UACGUAGGAGGCGAGCGUUAUCCGGAUUUAUUGGGCGUGAAGAGGGCGUAGGUGGCUUUUCAAGUCGGAUGUAAAAUCUCCCGGCUCAACUGGGAGGGAACAUUCGAUACUGUUGGGCUAGAGUGCAGCAGAGGGAGGUGGAAUUCCCGGUGUAGUGGUGAAAUGCGUAGAUAUCGGGAGGAACACCAGUGGCGAAAGCGGCCUCCUGGGCUGUUACUGACGCUGAGGCCCGUAAGCGUGGGGAGCGAACAGGAUUAGAUACCCCCGUA
rnacentral:rRNA from 1 species